AGAGUUUGAUCAUGGCUCAGAACGAACGCCCGGCGGCAGGCCUCAAACAUGCAAGUCUAGGGGGUGCAGCAAUGCAUCACCGGCGGACGGGUGCGUAACGCGUGGGAAUAUACCUAUUGGUUCGGAACAACUGCGGGAAACUGCAGCUAAUACCGAAUGUGCCCGCAAGGGGAAAGAUUUAUCGCCAAUGGAUUAGCCCGCGUAGGAUUAGCUAGUUGGUGGGGUAACGGCCCACCAAGGCUCCGAUCCUUAGCUGUUCUGAGAGGAAGAUCAGCCACACUGGGACUGAGACACGGCCCAGACUCCUACGGGAGGCAGCAGUUGGGAAUCUUGGACAAUGGGGGAAACCCUGAUCCAGCCAUGCCGCGUGAGUGAUGAAGGCCUUCGGGUUGUAAAACUCUUUCGACGGGGACGAUAAUGACGGUACCCGUAGAAGAAGCUCCGGCUAACUUCGUGCCAGCAGCCGCGGUAAUACGAAGGGGGCUAGCGUUGUUCGGAAUUACUGGGCGUAAAGCGCGCGCAGGCGGCUAUCCAAGUCAGUGGUGAAAGCCCGGAGCUCAACUCCGGAACUGCCAUUGAAACUGUUUAGCUUGAGGAUGAGAGAGGUGAGUGGAAUUCCCAGUGUAGAGGUGAAAUUCGUAGAUAUUGGGAAGAACACCGGUGGCGAAGGCGGCUCACUGGCUCAUUACUGACGCUCAGGCGCGAUAGCGUGGGGAUCAAACAGGAUUAGAUACCCCCGUAGUCC
rnacentral:rRNA from 1 species